AUGUCUAGAUUUCAUCUAUCAUGCAUGUCACCGACCACAACAUCCCAACUGAGCUCAUCGACCAGCUGCGCAACGCCGGCACUACCAAGAACAAGGAGGUGUAUGCUAAACAAUUCAUCACAUCUCCUGUUGUUGAACUGCCUAUUAUGCAAAUUAUUGGCAUGUUUUCUUGUGGGUUUGUUUUGCCUCAAUGGUACUAUUCUUCUGGAAGAUUUUGUUUCAAGUUUGCAGUUCGAUUUACAAACAUGA
rnacentral:rRNA from 1 species